rnacentral:rRNA from 1 species
AACGAACGCUGGCGGCAUGCCUAACACAUGCAAGUCGAACGAGACCUUCGGGUCUAGUGGCGCACGGGUGCGUAACGCGUGGGAAUCUGCCCUUCGGUUUGGAAUAACUGAGAGAAAUUUCAGCUAAUACCUUAUAAUGUCUUCGGACCAAAGAUUUAUCGCCGAGGGAUGAGCCCGCGUAGGAUUAGGUAGUUGGUGGGGUAAUGGCCUACCAAGCCGACGAUCCUUAGCUGGUCUGAGAGGAUGAUCAGCCACACUGGGACUGAGACACGGCCCAGACUCCUACGGGAGGCAGCAGUGGGGAAUAUUGGACAAUGGGCGAAGGGCUGAACCAGCAAUGCCGCGUGAGUGAUGAAGGCGUUAGGGUUGUAAAGCUCUUUUACCCGGGAUGAUAAUGACAGUACCGGGAGAAUAAGCUCCGGCUAACUCCGUG